CGUGCUGUGUGUUGAUGUUAACACUUUGAGGCAUGGUAUGCACAAGAGGCUCAGUGACAGCUGCCGUUGUUUGUGGCAAAGUAGCAUUGAUGGAGACAGCAUUUGUUGCAGGGAUCAGAACAUUGUUAGCAAUGCCCGAAGUGCCCGCUGCAGUACUGGGAGUGAAGAACGGUGGAAGCCCAUACGGAAACCCAGCUGGCAUAGCGAAGCGAGCGUCUGUAGAUGCAGUUGGGAGCA
rnacentral:lncRNA from 1 species